GUGGGGAAUAUUGGACAAUGGGCGAAAGCCUGAUCCAGCCAUGCCGCGUGUGUGAAGAAGGUCUUCGGAUUGUAAAGCACUUUAAGUUGGGAGGAAGGGCAGUAAGUUAAUACCUUGCUGUUUUGACGUUACCGACAGAAUAAGCACCAGCUAACUUCGUGCCAGCAGCCGCGGUAAUACGAAGGGUGCAAGCGUUAAUCGGAAUUACUGGGCGUAAAGCGCGCGUAGGUGGUUUUGUAAGUUGGAGGUGAAAUCCCCGGGCUCAACCUGGGAAAUGGCUACAAAACUGCAUGACUAGAGUACGGUAGAGGGUAGUGGAAUUUCCUGUGUAGCGGUGAAAUGCGUAGAUAUAGGAAGGAACACCAGUGGCGAAGGCGACUACCUGGACUGAUACUGACACUGAGGUGCGAAAGCGUGGGGAGCAAACAGGAUUAGAUACCCCAGUAGUCC
rnacentral:rRNA from 1 species